CUGCCCCUGUCAGGGGGACAACCCGCCGAAAGGCGGGCUAAACCCGCGUACAUGCCACCGGGGCAUCCCGGAGGCAGGAAAGGCUUCGGCCGGACAGGGAUGGGCAUGCGGCGCAUUAGGCAGUAGGCGGGGUAACGGCCCACCUAACCGACGAUGCGUAGGGGUUCUGAGAGGAAGGUCCCCCACACUGGUACUGAGACACGGACCAGACUCCUACGGGAGGCAGCAGUGAGGAAUAUUGGUCAAUGGUCGGGAGACUGAACCAGCCAAGCCGCGUGAGGGAGGAAGGUACAGAGUAUCGUAAACCUCUUUUGUCAGGGAACAAAGACUGGGACGCGUCCCCGGAUGAGUGUACCUGAAGAAAAAGCAUCGGCUAACUCCGUGCCAGCAGCCGCGGUAAUACGGAGGAUGCGAGCGUUAUCCGGAUUUAUUGGGUUUAAAGGGUGCGCAGGCGGUCUGUUAAGUCAGCGGUCAAAGCCCGGGGCUCAACCCCGGCCCGCCGUUGAAACCGGCAGUCUCGAGUUGGAGAGAAGUAUGCGGAAUGCGCGGUGUAGCGGUGAAAUGCAUAGAUAUCGCGCAGAACUCCGAUUGCGAAGGCAGCAUGCCGGCUCCACACUGACGCUGAGGCACGAAAGCGUGGGUAUCGAACAGGAUUAGAUACCCUGGUAGUCCACGCAGUAAAC
rnacentral:rRNA from 1 species